CCUACGGGAGGCAGCAGUGAGGAAUAUUGGUCAAUGGGCGAGAGCCUGAACCAGCCAAGUCGCGUGAGGGAUGACGGCCCUAUGGAUUGUAAACCUCUUUUGUCGGGGAACAAAGGCGUCCACGUGUGGACUGAUGAGUGUACCCGAAGAAAAAGCAUCGGCUAACUCCGUGCCAGCAGCCGCGGUAAUACGGAGGAUGCGAGCGUUAUCCGGAUUUAUUGGGUUUAAGGGGUGCGUAGGCGGAAGGUUAAGUCAGCGGUAAAAUGUCGGUGCUCAACACCGGCCUGCCGUUGAAACUGGUCUUCUUGAGUGAGCGAGAGGCAUGCGGAAUGCGUGGUGUAGCGGUGAAAUGCAUAGAUAUCACGCAGAACUCCGAUUGCGAAGGCAGCAUGCCGGCGCUCAACUGACGCUGAGGCACGAAAGCGUGGGGAUCGAACAGGAUUAGAUACCCUAGUAGUC
rnacentral:rRNA from 1 species